GGGAGUUUAGCUCAGUUGGUUAGAGCACACGACUCAUAAUCGUUAGGUCGUAGGUUCAAGUCCUACAACUCCCA